GACGAACGCUGGCGGCGUGCUUAACACAUGCAAGUCGAGCGGUAAGGCCCUUUCGGGGGUACGACGAGCGGCGAACGGGUGAGUAACACGUGGGUGACCUGCCCUCAGCUCUGGGAUAAGCCUGGGAAACCGGGUCUAAUACCGGAUAUGACUCCAUGACGCAUGUUGUGGGGUGGAAAGCCUUGUGCGGCUGAGGAUGGGCCCGCGGCCUAUCAGCUUGUUGGUGGGGUGAUGGCCUACCAAGGCGACGACGGGUAGCCGGCCUGAGAGGGCGACCGGCCGACACUGGGACUGAGACACGGCCCAGACUCCUACGGGAGGCAGCAGUGGGGAAUCUUGCGCAAUGGGCAAAGCCUGACGCAGCGACGCCGCGUGAGGGAUGACGGCCU
rnacentral:rRNA from 1 species